rnacentral:lncRNA from 1 species
CCUUGCUGUUGGCAUCAGCAGCAAACUUAUCAGCAAUGACCACAUCAGUGGGCAGCAAUAGGUCCACUCCCUUAGCUUUGGCCUUUUCAAUAAGUGAACUUGCAAGAUCAAGUUUGUCUCCCUCCACAAGGGAUGACCCGACUGAGUGUCCUUGUGCCUUGUAAAAGGUAAAUAUCAUUCCUCCACCCAAGAUGAGGAUGUCAACCUUCUCCAAGAGAGAUUCUAUUACUCCAAUCUUGGUUGAUACCUUUGAGCCCCCAACAAUUGCAGCAAAUGGCUUCUUAGGGUUUGCCACAGCUCCAACAAGAUAGUCAAGUUCCUAUUAGCAAAAAGUAUACUAGAAUCAAUUCUUUUGUGAAAGAACACCUUAAAGAAGAUUAAAAGGCAUCCAACACACCUUCUGCAUAAGAAAACCAGCAACAGAAGGCUUCAAGUAUUUAGCCACUCCCUCAGUGGAAGCAUGGGCUCGAUGAGCAGUGCCAAAUGCAUCAUUGACAUAGACAUCUGCAAGACCAGCAAGCUUCUUUGCAAAUUCAGGCUCAUUCUUCUCUUCCUCCUUGUGGAAUCUUACAUUCUCUAGAAGCAAAACACCCCCUUCUGGGAUCUCAGCCACCAAUUUCUCAAC